rnacentral:rRNA from 1 species
CAAUAGCGUAUAUUAAAGUUGUUGCGGUUAAAGCUCGUAGUUGGAUUUCUGUUGAGGGCAGCCGGUCCGCACUUGGUGCGUGUAUCUGGUUUGACCUCGGCAUCCUCUCAAAAUACGUUUCUGCGCUUGAUUGCGUGGAGCGGAGUUUGAGACUUUUACUUUGAGGAAAUUAGAGUGUUCACGGCAGGCAAUUCGCCUUGAAUACUGAUUAGCAUGGAAUAAUAAUAUAGGACUUGGUUCUAUUUGUUGGUUUCUAGAACUAAGGUAAUGAUUAAUAGGGAUAAUUGGGGGCAUUUGUAUUGACACGUCAGAGGUGAAAUUCUUGGAUUGUGUUACGACAAACUACUGCGAAAGCAUUUGCCAAGGAUGUUUUCAUUGAUCAAGAACGAAAGUAAGGGGAUCGAAGAUGAUCAGAU